rfam:Anas platyrhynchos breed Pekin duck contig47285, whole genome shotgun sequence.
UCCUUGGUAGUCUAGUGGGCAGGAUUUGGCACUCUCAUUGCCACGGCCUGGGUUCGAGUCCCAGCCAGGGAA